rnacentral:rRNA from 1 species
UACGUAGGGUGCGAGCGUUAAUCGGAAUUACUGGGCGUAAAGCGUGCGCAGGCGGUUAUGCAAGACAGAUGUGAAAUCCCCCGGGCUUAACCUGGGAACUGCAUUUGUGACUGCAUAGCUGGAGUGCGGCAGAGGGGGGUAGAAUUCCACGUGUAGCAGUGAAAUGCGUAGAGAUGUGGAGGAAUACCGAUGGCGAAGGCCAGCCCCCUGGGAUAACACUGACGCUCA